rnacentral:tRNA from 1 species
GCCUGGGUGGCUCAGUCGGUUGAGCGUCCGACUUAAGCUCAGGUCGCGAUCUCACGGUUCGUGAGUUCGAGCCCCGCGUCGGGCU